rnacentral:lncRNA from 1 species
GUGCCCAGCUGGAUUGGUAGAGGAGACCAACCACACCCUCUGCAGCACAGCACCUGGAGAGGAACUGCUGCCAUGACCAUAGAGGACACCCUCUGGAUACAAUGCCAGACUUGAUGUGGGACUGACCAACCUAUGGACCCCAGGCACCACCACCCAGACCUGCUCAGCACCUGAAACUUUUCUAUCUCCUCUUCACUCUUGAUGUAGACAUAUCUUCAAGUCAUCUUCUCCAGGCGACACGAGCCUUAAGAGCAUCUUUGUACCCAUCAGGAACGAGUACACAUUGACAACACUGAGGCUGCUACCUCCCCUGUGGCUGGGAGCAAGAUGAGCCCCAGAUGUGUUUCCAAGUGAGUCUGAUUGGGACAGGAGCCGACGUGGGACUUGGAGGCUGGAGAUGGGAGCAGCAUUCACAGCCAUGGAGAGAGAACUGUUCACUGCUACCAUCCACACUUCCGGGCCCCUUCAGCAGCAGGGUGACAAGGAAGAGGGAAAUCGACUUGGAAAAGAGCAUCAAUUUUGCAGCAGCCAUGGCUUGUCCCAUGAGAGAUGAUUCUACCACAAGAACCCAACCACAAGGACGGCUCCUCUUUGAAGUUUUUACAGUCGAUCUCUGGAUCAGCCAGCGAAGUCCUGCUCCCAGGAUCCAGGGAGAGACCGUACUUGUGAAGACAUCGUCUCUUUUGUUCAAAAAUGCUCUAUGGUAAAGAGAGGGAAAACUAUUAUCUAUCUCUAACUUCAAUGAAAAGAAACAAGGAUUCAGAACAGAAUGUAUCAGAACUGAACUGUGGGUUUGGAUAAUUACUUUCUGGCUGUGAUGUUGGGGUAAGUUAUCUCUUGGGGUAAAAGAAAAGUCUCUAAGCUUCAAAUUCCAUCAGCUGUUAAGUAAGAUAAUAUCCACUCCAUGGAGUUAUCAUAGGGAUUGGGGUUGUCCCUUGCCUUGCGUCGGAUAAUUUGACUGGUACACAGUUCCUUAUGAUGAUUUCAACUUUUCCUAACUGAGAAGAGUGACUCCCUGUGCCUAUACACAAUGUGGUUUUACACUGAACACCUGCUUUCCUUCUGGGAGUCUGAACUGGUUACAUGUUAGGCAGAGGGUGCUUAUGUGACCAGCUCCCCAUAAAAACCUUGGGCUUUUCUAAUGAGAACCUUGACUUAUCUAAUGGGCAUCCCUGGGCAGAAUCAGCAGAUGCUUGUUGCUGGAGAAAGAAGCAUGCUCUUGGGUGUCCCCUCGCAGGAGGGAGAAAGCAUGAGGAAGCCUGCACCUUGGUUUCUCAGGACUCCACCAUGGCUUUUUCUCUUACAGUCUGGCUGUAUAUCAUUACUAUGUUGCUGGAAGGAAUCUGAG